ensembl:lncRNA
AUACAUUCAGUAAAUUUGAAUUAAAAUUGCUUCAGAAUUAAGAGAGUUACGACUGAUUAAAAUGUUUAAUUUACCACUCUGAUGUGAUGCAUAAUCCACUGAGGUAUGUCAUUUCUUUAUCUAUUGUUAUAUCAUGUGUAUUUACAUUUUUUGAUGAUGAAGUUCAUUCAUUUUCUGCUUGUUUAGUAAGUAUUUAUAUCCAACACCAUAAGGCAAUCACUAAACCUACCUUCAUUAUCACUAAAAGGAGAAUAUUAACACAAACUAUUUAGGAUUAUUGUUAUAACCUUAGUGGAGUUGUCAAUGCUGCAUCACAAUUUGUGUUAAGACAGUAUAAAUUAAAAGUUGCUUUUACAAAUACUUAAUUAUCUUUUAUUUUACAGGAAACUGUAGACUCAAAAUCAACGAGCAGUUCUACUUCUAUGAUUGGGUCACCCCUAUCUCAGACAUCCACUCAAGUAAAAAGAUGUCCCGCAAAGCACACAACACCUGAAAAUGUUGUGAAGUUAUCCUUCCCCGAAUAUGUAUUGCACACUGACACCAAACUAGAGCAAUGCCGAAAACAAUAUUUUGAGUUGGCGAAGGCCGGCGAAGAGAGAAACUGCCAAAUGUCAAAGGACCUCAGAUGUCGGCUCAUCCGAAACACCAUGACCAGUAUGAUCGCAAUCCUGAGGGCAACGGGGGACAGAGACAGAUACCCGUCAAAGCCAGAAAUAACAGCUAUGGCAAAGCGAACAGUGCUGUACUACCCCAUGCUGCAGGGCCGAGACCUGAGCAGCAAGUUACUGUGUACUCACAGCUAUACAAAAGAUUGAAAAAUUUGAGAUCACCCCAAAAGACCAAUCCAAAGAGGCGCCGACUCGAGGAGCUAAAGUGCCAACCUGACUGACCCAGAUGAAUUUGAUUCAAGUGACUCAACAGUCAUUCUGGAUCUCCCCUCAAAAGGGGGUAGCAUUCAAGCAUUCAAGACUUCCCUUCUGAAGGGAGUAGCACCCCAGACUCGGGCAACAAUGCCAGAUAUGCCCGCAUCUUUGCGUAAGAAGAAAACUCCAAACCGACAGACACAAGAAAAUUCCAGAGGACAUUGGACAUGUGAUGGAGGAGCUUCAACGCAUUCUGGACAAAAAUAACAUCCAUUACAUUGAUGAGCUGAAGGGAAGAUGGGACGACUUCUGCCAGAAGGUGCAGUUUUUUGGUGUGUGGAAAAAGCUGCUGAAACCCUCAGUAGGAAUGGACAAAGGCUCUCAGUAUCCUACGUGUGCUGCCUUCAUUGUCCCCCUCUUCAUCUGCUCCUCUGAAGAAGUUAGGACAUGUGAGUGAGGCUCUUGUGCAUGUCCUCAAGGAAAAAGAAGACCCCAAUGACUAUUUGAAGAAACGUCGUCUCUCCUGCCCAGUCCUUAUUGUGAGUUUGUCCAACUGCCUCCUGGCUGUAGGAGAUGUGCUGAUAACUACGCUCCCAAAAGACAAGGUAACACAGGGUGUUUUAUACCUUACGGCCUACUAUUAUGCUCUACACCUUACUUACCCCAGGUGCGUAGCCACUCUGCUCUCUGUCAUAAAAACGGAGGUUCUCUUGGACACAAUCCAUGAGCGAGACCUCACACCAUCUUUCAAGAAGGGCAUGGCUGACUGGAAAGCUUUUGUUGGCAAGUAAAGCCGUUUCCAUUCUUAUUUAGCAAAUGUUUCCCAAUGUUAAGGUCGCAAUAAUAACAAUGUUGUUGAUCUAUUGAGGGACACAGUGGUCAAAUAUUUAUGUUAAUGUUAGCCCAAGACCCAUAACUUGUUGCAAUAAUAAGCACAUUGUAAGUGUAUUGAGGAGACAGAGGUCAGAUGAUUAUGUCUGACUGUAAUCCAUGUGUUACACAUAUAUGUCAUGUUUUGCUAUGUUUUUUUACUAUUAUUAGUAUUUUAUUACAGUGCCAUACACACUGCGCCAAAACAUGACUGGUGCUGCAGGCACAGUGUAACUGACUGACUGCACUGUAUUGUAAGAAUUGUUUGCUCCCUCCUGCAUUUCAGAGCUAAAGAGGCAUGCUCUUUCUUAUGCAAAUAAAAUAUUUGUUUGUUUAAUGCACAA